GAGGGCGAAGUGCUGCUUAGACUGGUGCCAAGAUGAGAGUCGGGUGCAGGGGUCACCACGUCUCCCAUCCUUCUUGUCACUCACAGGACACUGAGCCCUUUGGAAGAGGGAACACCCUGCGUCUCAAAGUUCUAAGGAUGGCAAAGACUAUGAGCAUUAGCAGCCAGCCCACCCUGCUGUCUUUCUUUCUGUAGAGCACAGACCCAACGUGUGACCUGGGGCCAGCAGCAUCACCUGGGAAAUUAUGAGAAAUACAGACUCUCAGACCCACAAGAUCAGAAGCUGCAUUUUAACAAGACUCAUCGUUACAAGACUUCAGGAGCUUAGGGUGCAGUGAUGAACAGUGUUUGCCGACAGCAGCCCUCACCCAGGCCAAGCUCCUUCCACCUGUACCUGUGGCCAGAGAGUUAUUCCCUGCCCCUGCAGAGCCCCUCAGCCAACUUACUGAGAGGACAUGCUGUCUGAUUGCCCCAGCAACCUUGCCCUUCAGGUGGGAAAACUGAAGUAAGUAUUCCACACAGUUUCCCAGAAUUCCUCAUGGGGUUAAGCACCAAUUGCCGUGAGUGGUAACUGGCGUAAUAAUGUUUGUUACUGGCAUUCUUUCUAUCUCUGGCUCAUUUCCCCAUUCUUCUACUGGUAUUUUCUGGAAGCAUCUCUGAAAUAAGGAUUUAAGAGCAAAUUGUCUUUGUUUGGUUUUCCCGGAAGCAGACCCUGAGACAGGAUAGGUAGUCAAGGAAGUGAGCAUGUUCUCAGAACACAGCAACUGUGGUGGUGCCCAUACAGUCAGCACAAUAAACCUCAGCAUUCGCAUUGUAAUGAGCUCAUUCAAGCAAAGCUAUCUGCAGUAGGGACUUUCCCCUCUAGAAAGCAUGCGCAUUUUGAUUUUACCUAUCCUCAUACUGGCCCUUUGCUCAUUAUAUAAGAGUGAAAAAAAAACACACCCCUAGGUGGAAAUGUAAGAUGCUAAUGAGACAUGCAAUAUAUGAAAAAGCACGCAUAGCUACUACACAUGUGCACACAGAGGCCCACUCAGAGCCUGCUUCCUAAUAACAGUUCUUCCCACCUCCUUAUGAAUUAUCAUGUAAGUCUCCCAUAAUGGGAGUCUUCCUAGUGCCGGUCUUGGCUGUCUCAUCCUUACAAGAAGCCCGCCCUGAAUGCUCUCUCUCUCUCUCAUGGUGUCCUGUCUAUUCUGCACCUAACUUACAAGAUAUUCUUCUUGUUUUGCAAUACAUUGUUCUAUGCUAUACCCCCUUUGCUGUGUGUCUGUUUAAAUUCUUUUAAACUCAGAAGACAAGAACUGAGGUCUCACAUCAGCCAUCAUCAAGCCCAGAGUAGACCCCAAAAGAGGAAAGUAAGACAAGAAUGAGGGUCAUGAUGGGGAGAAGGAAGUCUUGGAGAGGCC